CAGACAGACAAGGGGAGGGGCUCCUGUGAUGGGAUCAGUCAGAUGCCUGCCUGGCCGCUCCCCCUGAGGGGACUUGGGCUCCUCUUAACAUUGGCAGGCUGGUAUAAACUUCCGGCUCAGAUCAAGCUAUGCCUGAUGCUGCCUUAAGCCUUAUGAGGUCGCCACGGAACCGCAGAAACUCCUGGAGGGCAGAGCUGUGUCUGCCAUCUUCAUCAUUGCAUUACCACCACCAAGCACAGUGCCUGGCACAAAAGAGUUGCUCAAUAAAUAAAUCAGGAUGAAUGGAUAAAUACAUGGAUAGGCACUUUGAGCUACAGAUGAGUUUAAAUACUUUGUGUUUUUCUUAGUCAAACAUGUGCAAUUAAGCAUGUGAUAAAU
rnacentral:lncRNA from 1 species